rnacentral:lncRNA from 1 species
AGACAUCGUUAAUAAUGCAAAUAAUAAUAUUAAUAACUUCGUCAUCUCAAUUAUUGAUUUAAUAACAUAUAAAAUAUCGACAAUAAUUGAAUCAAACUGAGUGACUUCUCACAUAAGCAUUAAUAAUCAAUACCGUGUGCUACUAUGCAACCACGCGUAUUAUUAUACUUUUACUACCGAGUAAUUCAACAGUAUCAACGGUAAAACUUUCGCCGUUAUUUUCAUAAAAAUAUUUUUGUCGUUUUCUCAAUCCGACAAUAACUCUGUUGUGGGGUCCACCAAUGAUUGUGCCGUCAUACGAAUAUUUCCUGACCAAUCGAAUAUUAUAUAACAACUUGCGUACUUUGCAAAAUUUAUAAAUAUUACCCACAACUAUAACAUUAUAUCAAAUUUAUUCCAUAAUAUUCAAAAAUGAUAUUUAUAGAAAAUUCAUUUUUAUUCAUAAAAGUUGG